AGUCGAACGGCAGCACGGGGGCACCCUGGUGGCGAGUGGCGAACGGGUGAGUAAUACAUCGGAACGUGUCCUGUAGUGGGGGAUAGCCCGGCGAAAGCCGGAUUAAUACCGCAUACGAUCUACGGAAGAAAGCGGGGGAUCCUUCGGGACCUCGCGCUAUAGGGGCGGCCGAUGGCAGAUUAGCUAGUUGGUGGGGUAAAGGCCUACCAAGGCGACGAUCUGUAGCUGGUCUGAGAGGACGACCAGCCACACUGGGACUGAGAUACGGCCCAGACUCCUACGGGAGGCAGCAGUGGGGAAUUUUGGACAAUGGGGGCAACCCUGAUCCAGCAAUGCCGCGUGUGUGAAGAAGGCCUUCGGGUUGUAAAGCACUUUUGUCCGGAAAGAAAACCUACCUGUUAAUACCGGGUGGGGAUGACGGUACCGGAAGAAUAAGCACCGGCUAACUACGUGCCAGCAGCCGCGGUAAUACGUAGGGUGCGAGCGUUAAUCGGAAUUACUGGGCGUAAAGCGUGCGCAGGCGGUCUGUUAAGACCGAUGUGAAAUCCCCGGGCUUAACCUGGGAACUGCAUUGGUGACUGGCAGGCUAGAGUAUGGCAGAGGGGGGUAGAAUUCCACGUGUAGCAGUGAAAUGCGUAGAGAUGUGGAGGAAUACCGAUGGCGAAGGCAGCCCCCUGGGCCAAUACUGACGCUCAUGCACGAAAGCGUGGGGAGCAAACAGGAUUAGAUACCCUGGUAGUCCACGCCCUAAACGAUGUCAACUAGUUGUUGGGGAUUCAUUUCCUUAGUAACGUAGCUAACGCGUGAAGUUGACCGCCUGGGGAGUACGGUCGCAAGAUUAAAACUCAAAGGAAUUGACGGGGACCCGCACAAGCGGUGGAUGAUGUGGAUUAAUUCGAUGCAACGCGAAAAACCUUACCUACCCUUGACAUGGACGAAACCCGGGUGAGAGCCUGGGGUGCUCGAAAGA
rnacentral:rRNA from 1 species